rnacentral:rRNA from 1 species
AAUUUAUUUUAUUAAUUUGUUUUUUUUUAUUUGGUUUUUUAUAAAAAUAAUUUAUUUAUUUAAAGUUUUAGUAUUUAUUAAAAAAUAAUUUUUAGAUUUAUAGUUUAAUAGUAUUGUAAAAGAAUUAAUUAAAUUUUUAAAAGAAUUAUAUUAGUACCUUUUGUAUCAGGGUUGAUUAAAAUUUUCAAUUUUUUUUUGAAUUCUCAAAAUUUAUAGAGUUAAUUUUAUUAUUAAUUUAUUGUGUUAUAAAUAUUUAUAAAAUAAUAUUAGUUUUGAAAUUUAAUUCGUUAUAUUAUAUUUAGUUAUUUAAGAUUUAAAUUUAAUUUAAAAUUUUAAAAGUUUUUUUAAUUUUAUUAAUUAAUAUUUUAAAUUUAAAGUAUUUUAGGGAUAAGCUUAAAAUUUUUAUAUAAUAAUUUAUUUAUUUAAUAAUUUAUAGGAAUAGAAAUUUUUAUUUAAGUUUGUAAAAAUUUAUUAUUAUUUAUUUUUAAUUUAUUAUAAUUUAUUUAUUUUUGGUAUUAAAUUUUAUUAAUUAAUAUCUAAUUAAUAGUAAUAAUGAUUAAAUUAGUAUAAUUUUUAUUUAUAAAUUAUGAAUUCGGCAAAAAUUAUUUUCAUCUGUUUAACAAAAACAUUGUAUUAAGAUUAAUUUAAUAUAGGAUCUGCUCAAUGAUUUAUUAAAUAGCUGCAGUAUUUUGACUGUGCAAAGGUAGCAUAAUAAUUAGUCUUUUAAUUGAGGACUUGUAUGAAAGAUUUGAUGAGAAAUAAACUUUAUUAUUUAUAUAAUUAAAAUUUUAUUUUUAAGUAAAAAAGCUUAAAUUAUUUAAAGGGACGAUAAGACCCUAUAAAACUUUAUAAAUUUUAAUUUUAAUUUUUUUGGAUUUAUAAAUAUUUUAUUUUUAAAAUUUAUUUUAUUGGGGUGAUAAAAAAAAUUAAUUAACUUUUUUUAAAAUUUAACAUUAUUUAAUGAAUUAUUGAAUUAAAAUUUUUAAUUAAAGGAAAAAGUUACUUUAGGGAUAACAGCGUAAUUAAUUUUUUAAGUUCAAAUUUAAAAAUUAGUUUGCGACCUCGAUGUUGAAUUAAGAUUAAUCUUAGGUGCAAAAUUUUAAGUAUUAGGUCUGUUCGACCUUUAAAUUCUUACAUGAUUUGAGUUCAAACCGGUGUAAGCCAGGUUGGUUUCUAUCUUUUAUAAAUUAAUUUAUUUUAGUACGAAAGGAUUAAAUAAUUAAAUUAAAUUUUUAUAAAUGAAUAAAAUUAAUUUA